UACGAAGGGGGCUAGCGUUGCUCGGAAUCACUGGGCGUAAAGCGCACGUAGGCGGAUCUUUAAGUCAGGGGUGAAAUCCCAAGGCUCAACCUUGGAACUGCCUUUGAUACUGGGGAUCUCGAGUCCGGAAGAGGUUGGUGGAACUGCGAGUGUAGAGGUGAAAUUCGUAGAUAUUCGGAAGAACACCAGUGGCGAAGGCGGCUCACUGGACCGGCAUUGACGCUGAGGUGCGAAAGCGUGGGGAGCAACAGG
rnacentral:rRNA from 1 species